AAGGGUUAACUGUUUUCAACUGAAAGAACUGGUGAAUAGCCACAUGUCUCCUGCAGCCAAUCCAGGAAGUCAUCCUUGUUGCCACCCUAUCCCUCUGUGAUAGAAAAUAAUUCCUAAGUCAGUUAGUCUGGCCUCCAGACAGGGAAGAAGUGGGAGCUCCUAUUUAUUUCCACACCCUGUUCUCAUAUCUUAAAUGAGGAUAGGACCCAAAUAACACCAUUGUUGAACCAGACUUUGCCAAAGUCCUCUCUGUUGGAUUCCGCUGUCGAGAAACAAAUAACAAAGCUGAUGGCCCUUGAGCUUUUGAAUGAAUACGCUGCGUAUGUGCAAUGUGUAAACCUACCUUAAAGGAAAAGAACUAGAAGCCUUUAAAGAAGCAACAGAUGGCCUCAAGAUGGGACAACACGUAGAGGGACAACAGGAGACAUAUAAAGCACAAAACAACAGAGAGCACUCUCCUUUGUGGAAGCCAACAAUGCCAGUGAUGGUUUCUCAAAUGGAUCAAAACAAACUCACCUGGUUUCGUUGUGCAAACUGAGACACAACACUCUGAGUGAUAUGAAAGACUCAAGGAUGGCUGCUAUGGCUCCCCACGCUGACCAGCAAGCGUUUCAAACAUCAAGAGAAUAACAGGAAGAUGGAAACCGGGAGUUGGAUCGUACUGCCACAAAUGGAAGGACAUCAGGCCUGAUGAAAAAGCCAUAACAGCUUUGAAAAGCAUUGCAUGUUUUUGUUAAAUAAACCUACCUGA